GGAAUUUAAUCAAGUAGAUUUGAUGAAAAUCUCAUCCUUGAUUUGGAGAGAUAUUUUCAUCUUAAAUCAAAGAUAAUUUCCCUAAUUAAAUAGCAUUUAAUUAGGGUAAUCAGUUGACCUAAGGAACAUUCAUUUUCCCCGCGUCGCCCCUCUAUUGGUUGCAUAAAUAUAUGUUCCAACAGUAGUGUCAUAGGGAUUCAAACAUGAGGUCAUUGUCUGCAAAUCAACGCCCUUUUUCACUGAGGUAGACCUCGUUAGUUAAAACCUAAACAUUUUCUAUGUAGUUUUCGCUCUCACGUACUUAAACCUAAAAAUUCUAUUAUAAAGAAAAAUAAAAGAAAGUAAAAAAAAAAAAAAAAAAAAACAUACACGCAAAC
rnacentral:lncRNA from 1 species